GGCUCCACUCCUUGCCCCUAGGCAUGCCCAGAGACAACAGCCCAGCAUGGGAAGCAAACUUAAUUCCAAACCAAGGGCAUACCUUGGCACAAAAGCAGCCAGAGACAGAGACUGGAGUGGGCUGUGCUCUGGGAGGGCACACUAGGCACCUGCACACACUACAAGCUGUGCAGCCCAGGUUGGAGCAAGGCUGGACCGUGGCUUGCACUGCUGCCAGCACACCAGAGCUCAUCUCUGGGCUGUCCUGAGGAAGAUCUGCCACAUCUGCCUCCUCACUGAGCAUAACUGCUGCUUACAAGCUCAGAGCUGCGAGCCCGACAUGCAGUGGGAUGGGGUGCAAUGCAGCAAGGAUGAGCUCUGGAAACCAUCUCAUGUGAGCAGCUGCUCCAAGGCAGGACACACUGUUUCAGCAGCUAAAUGUGAAGGGGCAAAUGCCUGUUUGCCCUGGCAUCUCUUGCACUUCACUAAGCCAAAGAAGCAGCAUUCACUGGAAGUGACCUUAGCAGCUCCCUCGGGCCUUCACUUCUCAUCCUCCUUACUGCCUCCAGUUCUCACCCUGAGCUCUGUAAUCCCUGGGGCUGAGUCUCGUGGAGGCUGAAUCUAAACAGUUUCACCCCGGACUGCAGCACUUCUCAAGGCAAGCACAGAAGUGCAUUAACCCAGCUUGAUAGCUACUUGCUGGCUGCUUACAGGAGAGAACACAGAAACAUAGACAGGUAUUUGAGGACAGGGGAUGACCAAGUAUAGACACACCUGGACGUGGCUUUUGGGUUAAUCCAGACAUAGACUUUUAUCCUGUGUGCUCACUGAAUCCAAAUCACAGAAAGGAUUAAAGCUAGUUGAAUCACAAAGUCCUGGCUGGUGGUAGAUUAACUCCAGAGCUAGAAGGUAAAAUACCAGAAUCAGCUAUUUUUUACUAUUCUGUACCUUUUUAAUUGUCAAUUCUGGCAAGCUCAUGGCUUCCUCUAGUAGGUCUGCCUACUAAUAAGGACCCUGUGAUGUAAAUUCAAGGCACCUAGAGUCUUACAGUGCCUGACUUUAAGAGCUGCCAGUGUGCAAAUCACCUCUGUCCCCAGUGCCCUUCUCAUUUCAGGAGCUUGCACGUGCUGUGUCCCGCACAGGGAGGCACACCCCCUGACAACAGCACAGCCUUUAUGUGCAGGGGCAAAUCCUGUCCUGGCCCCUCUGAGCUGACAGAGCCACUGCUGCCAGAGCCAGCAUUGUGCUGCUGGCAGGCAGCUGAGACCACUGUGCCAGGAUUGCCUGUGAGCCCAGAGAUGCGGUGCUGUAUCGGCUGCUCCACGUCCCUGCAUGAGAUCAGCAGCACUGUCACAAAUGGAGACUCUCAGCAAUCAUGGCAUGCUGGAAUUCUCUAGAGACCACUCCAUCCUUCAAGUGAAACUGUCCAAGUGUUCAAGCCCCAGAGUCAGGUUUCUCAGCUAGCUAUCUUGGGGAUUUUCACAGGAGCAUAUAGAAGUGACCACCAGGAACAUAAAGCACUGCAGACUUUCCCAUUACCCACCCAAGAUUUAGUACUCUUCUAGGCUCGUAAUAAAAAGGACUCUGUUGCUAAUUAAUCACCUGAUUAAGGUUCCGGGCUUGCAGAUCUCAUUUUUUCAUACUGAGACGUGCUUUCUUUCACUGCCUGUCAGCAUAGCUGGACUUGAACCCUUGC